rnacentral:rRNA from 1 species
CCUACGGGUGGCAGCAGUGAGGAAUAUUGGUCAAUGGCCGAGAGCCUGAACCAGCCAAGUAGCGUGAAGGAUGACUGCCCUACGGGUUGUAAACUUCUUUUAUCAGGGAGUAAAGCGAGUCACGUGUGACUCAUUGAGAGUACUUUAUGAAUAAGCAUCGGCUAACUCCGUGCCAGCAGCCGCGGUAAUACGGAGGAUGCGAGCGUUAUCCGGAUUUAUUGGGUUUAAAGGGAGCGUAAGUGGGAGGUGAAGUCAGGGGUGAAAGUUCGGGGCUCAACCGCAAACUUGCAGUGGAUACUGGAAGCCUUGAGUGCGGGAGAGGUAGGCGGAAUGCGUGGUGUAGCGGUGAAAUGCUUAGAUAUCACGAAGAACUCCGAUUGCGAAGGCAGCAUAC